UAGGUAUAACAGACAAUAGCUUGAGUUUUCAAGAGGAAAGUCUGGGCUGCAGUGAAGUAUAGUUCCAUUUAACAAAUGGCUAGGGAAACCUAAGGGACAGUGCAACAGAGAGUAGACCGCCAUUUAUGGUAAGGGUGAAAGGGUAAGGUAAGAGCUUACCAGCAUUUUAAGUAAUUUUAAUGGCUAUGUAAACCCAACUAGCAGCAAGAAGAAUAUGGUAAUAAACUUCACACUAAUUGUUCUUCGCAAGAUUGUUUAAGUAAUUUAACAACUAGAUAAAUUAUUGUUUAAUACAUAACCCAGCUUAUAGUUAUGCCUAAAUU
rnacentral:RNase_P_RNA from 1 species